rnacentral:rRNA from 1 species
AACGAAGGGGGCUAGCGUUGUUCGGAAUUACUGGGCGUAAAGGGCGCGUAGGCGGUUCGUUAAGUCCUGUGUGAAAUCCCCCGGCUCAACUGGGGAACUGCACAGGAAACUAGCGGGCUUGAGUUCGGGAGAGGGAAGCGGAAUUCCGGGUGUAGCGGUGAAAUGCGUAGAUAUCCGGAGGAACACCGGUGGCGAAGGCGGCUUCCUGGACCGACACUGACGCUGAGGCGCGAAAGCUAGGGGAGCAAACGGG